UAGCAAUGGUAAACUGACCUGGCCCUGGAGGGCGUGUCUUAUGGAGAGGUGCUCCCGACUCCUUCCUGUUUCGGCAGUCCUCAGUCUGGUCCGGGGUUAAGUCCCGCCUCCUACCUCCGUGGUUCCUACCUGAACAAGCAUUGAGAAGGCUUCACAGGUGAAUGUGCAAAGCUGGGGUGCAGUGGAACCUCGGAGGGGCAUAUAGGCUGAACUGUGUCCUGCAGAAAUGCCUCCAGAACGGGAGAAGAGCCGCAUCUGCUGCUGGAGCCCCCGGCAGGGGUCCUUUGCGGUGGCCACCCCGUGGGCUCACACAGGACGUGCUCGACACAUGAAGGUUUCCCAGUGUUUCCUCUGGGACUUCCUGGUGGUUUGAAGAAGGUCCUCCGUCUCUGAAGGACACCGGCAGCAGAUUUAUGUGAUCAGAACUUUUCCCAUGCGUAUGUGAAAAAGCAUUUUAAGAAAAUAAAUGUGGGAAGUAGAAAA